CUACUCAUUUUGGCAGCAUAUAUACUAAAAUUAGAAUUACACUGAGAAGAUUAGCAUGACCCCCCAUGCAAAGUGACAUGCAACUUCAUGAAGAUUCCAUACUUUUU
rnacentral:snRNA from 1 species